UUCGAAAAUCUAGCGUGACAAGUAAAAGCAAGAGGAAUUCAAGGAAACUAAAUUGCUUUAAUAUAAAUUGUACAAAGUAAAUGAGAUCAAGUGGACAAACCACAAUGGAGACAUUGAAUUUUUUACCGGGGUUUAAGUGACUUGCCGGUCACCCCUAAUCCACAUGUGGAUUCAAUGUUCCAACCUCUCCUUAUCAAGGCACCAUUUGAUCUUAAGCCGAUUUGGAUCAAAGAACCACUGCACACAUCACUUCUACUAGAGUUGCUCUUCAUCACACCGAUGAGGCAAGCACAAAGUCUCUCACGAGCACACUGGACCUUGUCACAAGGUUCUAUUGAGAAAAUCACUGGAUCAUAGCACCACCACAUCGUCUAAGUGUCGGCAAACACCAAGAGUAAUAAGUCAUGGCACACUUGACGCUCCACCAAGUGCCUAAAGUUCAAAUUCCCAUAGUGCACUAGAAUCUUGCCUCUCACCCUCUCCUAGAACCAACAUGCUCCUAUCCAACCCGGACACUUCGUAAAAAGCUAACAAUUUUUAGCUUUGAUGUUCUUGGACUCUACGGAAAACUUGUCUAGAGGGCUACACAUCCCAACUGAAUGCUCGAC
rnacentral:lncRNA from 1 species